rnacentral:rRNA from 1 species
GAUGAACGCUGGCGGCGUGCCUAACACAUGCAAGUCGAACGGAGUCCAGCCUCUGAGACCUUCGGGUCAAAGAGGGGAAGACUGAGUGGCGGACGGGUGAGCAACACGUGGGCAACCUGGCUCAUAGAGGGGGAUAACAGAGAGAAAUUUCUGCUAAUACCGCAUAAGCACACACUGCCGCAUGGCAGAGUGUGAAAAGAGAAUCGCUAUGGGAUGGACCCGCGUCUGAUUAGCCAGUUGGCAGGGUAAGAGCCUACCAAAGCGACGAUCAGUAGCCGAUUUGAGAGGAUGAACGGCCACGUUGGGACUGAGACACGGCCCGCACUCCUACGGGAGGCAGCAGUGGGGGAUAUUGCACAGUGGAGGGAACCCUGAUGCAGCGACGCCGCGUGAGUGAAGAAGUAUUUCGGUAUGUAAAGCUCUAUCAGCAGGGAAGAUAAUGACAGUACCUGAAGAAGAAGCCCCGGCUAACUACGUG